rnacentral:tRNA from 1 species
UGUUCUGUGGCGUAGUUGGUUCAAGCGCCAGUCUAGCGAAUACGGGGGUCCGAAUCCCCAGCGAGUCGUGGGUCCGAAUCCCACCAGAACAC